rnacentral:rRNA from 1 species
GACAGAGGGUGCAAACGUUGUUCGGAAUUACUGGGCGUAAAGCGCGUGUAGGCGGCCCUGCAAGUCGGAUGUGAAAUCCCACGGCUCAACCGUGGAAGUGCAUUCGAAACUGCAGGGCUAGAGUCCUGGAGAGGAAGGUGGAAUGCUUGGUGUAGAGGUGAAAUUCGUAGAUAUCAAGCGGAACACCGGUGGCGAAGGCGGCCUUCUGGACAGUGACUGACGGCUGAGACGCGAAAGC